CCCGCUCUGCGGCAAUUCUACCUGGGUACUUCGUGUCUACUUAGCUUAGACACCUUAGCUAAGACACGCAUUGUUUUUUCAUGGAUUUAGUUUUAGUGUGCAACAUUUUGUGUUUUUUUUAGUUUUAGUGUGCAAACUUUUGACGUUUGAUUUCGCCUGUUUUGUUUUGCAUCAUUUCAUCAACAACCGCCGCGAAAAAAAAAACAAAAAAAAAGCUGUUCGUCGCGGAACGCAAAAAAAUGUUGAAGAUUGUGCCAAGGAUUGCACCGAUUGCACCAGUGGUCACCCCAAUGGACGACGCGGGAUGGACAUCGAUCUUCCGUAUGAAUUCAAGUAUUUGGUCUGUCUGGAUCGACUGCGGCUGCCAGUCGGUAGGCGGUGAGGAA